CUCUGAUGGCUGAUGAGAAGAAAAGCCCGUAUUGCCCGCGCGUGGUCUCUGAGAACGAUAUUCCCGUUCCCAAAUCGUUGAGCCUGACGGCGCAG
rnacentral:snoRNA from 1 species